UGUAGCUCAAUGGUAGAGCGCUUGCCUAGCAUGUGUGAGGUACUGGGUUCGAUUCUCAGCA
rnacentral:tRNA from 1 species